rnacentral:rRNA from 1 species
GAUAAACGCUGGCGGUGUGCUUUAUGCAUGCAAGUCGAACGGACAUUAGCAAUAAUGUCAGUGGCGGAUGGGUGAGUAACACGUAAGCAACCUACCCUUAAGUGGGGAAUAGCUCCGAGAAAUUGGAAUUAAUACCGCAUGUGGUUCUUCACCACAAGGUGAAGAACCAAAGCCUUCGGGCGCUUGAGGAGGGGCUUGCGUACGAUUAGCUAGUUGGUGAGGUAACGGCCUACCAAGGCGACGAUCGUUAGCUGGUUUGAGAGGACGACCAGCCACACUGGGACUGAGACACGGCCCAGACUCCUACGGGAGGCAGCAGCAAGGAAUAUUGGGCAAUGGGCGAAAGCCUGACCCAGCGACAUCGCGUGGGGGAAGAAGGCCCUCGGGUUGUAAACCCCUUUUCCCAGGGACGAAUAAUGACGGUACCU